UUUAUUGAGAGUUUGAUCCUGGCUCAGGAUGAACGCUGGCGGUGUGUCUAAGGCAUGCAAGUCGAACGGCUCUAGCAAUAGAGCAGUGGCAAACGGGUGCGUAAGACAGUGGUAAUUUACCCAGAAGUCACGGACAACCAUUGGAAACGAUGGCUAAUACGUGAUGGCCAUGGGGGGUCACAUGACAUUCCCAUGUAAAGAUUUAUCGCUUCUGGAGAAGCCUUUGGUUUAUCAGCUAGUUGGUAGUGUAAUAGACUACCAAGGCUACGACGAAUAGCGGGUGUGAGAGCAUGACCCGCCUCAGGGGGACUGAGAUACUGCCCCCACACCUACGGGUGGCUGCAGUCGAGAAUCUUCCCCAAUGCGCGAAAGCGUGAGGGAGCGACACCGCGUGAAUGAAGAAGGCCUUCGGGUCGUAAAAUUCUUUUCUAUGGGAAAAACUAGCGAUGGUACCAUAGGAAUAAGAGGCUGCUAACUCUGUGCCAGCAGCAGCGGUAAUACAGAGGCCUCGAGCGUUAUCCGGAAUUACUGGGCGUAAAGAGCUAAAAGGUGGUUAUAUUUGUCGGAGAUGAAAGCCCAUGGCUCAACCAUGGAAACAUUUUCGAAACGGUAUAGCUAGAGAGUGGAAAAGGUCAGCGGAAUUACUGGUGUAGCAGUAGAAUGCGUUAAUAUCAGUAAGAACACCAAUUGCGAAGGCAGCUGACUGGGACAUUUCUGACACUACAAUAGCGAAAGCGUGGGGAGCGAAUGGGAUUAGAUACCCCAGUAGUCCACGCCCUAAACGAUGGAUGCUAGGCAUUGAGGGAUCGACCCCUUCAGUGUCAUGAAGCUAACGCAUUAAGCAUCCCGCCUGGGGAGUACGGUCGCAAGACUAAAACUCAAAGGAAUUGACGGGGACCCGCACAAGCGGUGGAGCAUGUGGUUUAAUUCGACGACAAGCGGGGAACCUUACCAAGAUUUGACAUCUAGCGAAAGACCUAGAAAUAGGUCCGUGCCUUCGGGAACGCUAAGACAGGUGAUGCAUGGUUGCCGUCAGCUCGUGCCGUGAGGUGUACCCUUAAGUGGGGUAACGAGCGCAACCCUUGCACUAUGUUAAUUUUCAUAGUGGACUGCCGGCGAUAAGCCGGAGGAAGGUGGGGAUGACGUCAAAUCAGCAUGUCCUUUAUAUCUUGGGCGACACACGUGCUACAAUGGGAAGCAACAGAGGGACGCCAAACCGCAAGGUGGAGCUAAUCCUUUAAAACUUCCCCCAGUUCAGAUUGAGGGCUGCAACUCGCCCUCAUGAAGUCGGAAUCGCUAGUAAACGCGUAUCAGCCAUGGCGCGUUGAAUACGUUCUCGGGUCUUGUACACACCGCCCGUCACAUCAGGGGAGCCGGUAAUGCCCGAAGGCCCUACAGUAAGUAGGGACGAAGGCAGGACUGGUGACAAGGAUGAAGUCGUAACAAGGCACGGGUAGCGGAAGCUGCUCGUGGAUCACCUCCUUU
rnacentral:rRNA from 1 species